CGGAUGGGAGAAAACUUUGCACGUGGUUUUAUCUUAUAUCAUGUCAAUGUUUGCGAGGAUUUUUAGUGACUCGAAAAUUAACACUCAAAAUUUUGCUAAAAACAUUCUAUUAUGUGUAAAUCAAAUGAGCACAAAGGGAGGGAAAAGCACACAAUGUUCAGUGGUAUCAAAUACAACUUAAACGAAUUUUAUUUAGUAUUCAGCAUAUAAAAACACGUUUCCCUGUCGAGUGUCUUUAUUAUCAGUGAUUUAACAAUUUAUCAUCAGCAAUGGAUAUCGUUCAAUUUCUAUACUGCGAUAAAGCAAGGCCAUCUGCUGCUUAAUACGCUCCAAAAAAUUCCACGUAAGUUAUUUGCACAGGGAAUUAUAAUUAACACUACAAGAAUUAUUUUUGCUUUCGAAAUCAUAUUACAGCUACUAAACAUUGGAAACUAUAUGCACAAAUAAAAUUAAUGAAACGGUCAAAAUGUACAAUUGGAAAACGAAGUUUUACGAUAUUACGUGACGAGAAAUUGCGGAAUUAAGAUUUACGCGGCACAGUUUCUAACUUAUUUCACAUAUAAUGGAAUUUACAUAAAUUUCGCAGUAAGCUCACGCGCAAAUUCGGAUUUCUCUGGAUUAUGGCCUAUGCAGUUUGCAGGGGCAUUUACUCAAACUGAACGAAAGCAUUCGAACUUUGUACAGGUUCGAUGAACAAUGGAUGGGCAGUCGGUCAGAAACGUCUCCUUUGCGUGUUCCUGUGCGAGAGGAAGUGAACUGAUUCGAGGACUGACCUACGGAUCAAGCCAGCCUAAUUUCUCGAGUGCCUCGAACGCAAUAAAUCUACAAGCAAGACGUAAAGAUAUAUCGUCCUGACUUCUUUUCCUAUCGACGCGAAACCAUGCUGUUUUCUACAUCACCGAAAAACGGUUUUUCAUUUCCUGGGAAGUCAGAUUUUUCCCAGUCACUCGCCUCUAUGAUUUAAUGCAAUUUUUAACACGAAAAAGAAAAGAUUUUAAAUAAAGGGAAUAUUGUAAAAAUAUCGUCACCUUUUUACAUUAAUUAAAAUUCUAUAAUUUUAAAAUGUAAAUUUCUUCAUACAUUGUCCAUUGUUCCCAUAAAUUAAUUAUACUAUAAUAACUUAAAAAAACAUAAUAAUAAUUUUAAAGAUUACAUUAAUAGUGCACUAUUUUGUUUUAAAACAGAAUUAAGAGCUUUUGACCUAUAUAUGGCAUAUACGGGGUCAUCUUGACCCAGAUACAGAAACAAUAUUUAUAUGUAAAAAAGAUAUGUCAAUAUUAAAUACAAUGCACCUUUCAAACCCACAUGUAAGUAAGAAAAUUUUAUGUUAUGGGUCAAAAUGACCCAGAACACAAUAAUGUAAAUUAGGUCUAAUGAUAGAGUAAAGCGAGCCAUUGGCAAUGCACUUUACUGCAUGUCGAUAUUUCUAAUCGUUCUCGAGAUAUGAGUCUUUAAAGUUCAAUAAGUAAGAAUGAAGGUCAUGAAUGAAAUACUACCGUGACCUACAUUUUUUUCUAGCAAACGCGUACGCUACGCGUAGUAAUAGUAAAAAGACCUUGAUUCAGCGUUUGACAAUGAGCAGUGCACGCACACGGUAGCGAAAGUAGGUCAGCGAACGCGUGCGAGUGAGACAAGAGAGUAAAAUGCCGAAAACUUUACGCGACGAUAUCUCCGGAACGGGAAGUCGUAUCGCCAUAAAUCCAAAUGGGUUUUAUAGGGGAAUGAUCCCCGAUUCCUACAACAUCUCAAUUUUUACAAUGCCACCAAUAGAUUUGCAAUAACAACAAUUCAAAGUUUUACUAAUUUUAAUACGUUUUAGUGGUGGAUUUUUGUAUUAAUUCUAUUUGUAACU